rnacentral:rRNA from 1 species
CAGCCGCCGCGGUAAUACAGAGGGUGCAAGCGUUAAUCGGAAUUACUGGGCGUAAAGCGCGCGUAGGUGGUUUGUUAAGUUGGAUGUGAAAGCCCCGGGCUCAACCUGGGAACUGCAUCCAAAACUGGCAAGCUAGAGUACGGUAGAGGGUGGUGGAAUUUCCUGUGUAGCGGUGAAAUGCGUAGAUAUAGGAAGGAACACCAGUGGCGAAGGCGACCACCUGGACUGAUACUGACACUGAGGUGCGAAAGCGUGGGGAGCAAACAGGAUUAGAUACCCCGGUAGUCUCUGUCUCUUAUAC